UACGUAGGGUGCAAGCGUUGUCCGGAAUUAUUGGGCGUAAAGAGCUCGUAGGCGGUUCGGCAAGUCGAAUGUGAAAUCUCCACGCUCAACGUGGAGGGGUCAUUCGAUACUGCCGUGACUUGAGUACGGUAGGGGAGUGUGGAAUUCCCGGUGUAGCGGUGAAUGCGCAGAGAUCGGGAGGAACACCCGUAGCGAAGGCGGCACUCUGGGCCGAUACGUGACGCUGAGGAGCGAAAGCGUGGGGAGCGAACAGG
rnacentral:rRNA from 1 species